CACUGAGUGAUUAACACUUUCACUUCCAGCCCUUUCUGCUCUCACUCAUCCUCAGCAGAAUGAGUGAGGCUCAUCAGAGCUCUGAAUCCUGAACCGAUAGCAACGCCUGGGGGCUGUUUCGAGCUGAACAAGGGCUAUCCAAGGCACAAAUGGGCCGCUGUGCACUACACUGAUCAUCUUUUCUCUGUUUGUUGCUGACACUUACAUUCCCUCUUAAGCGUGUUCUGAGCUGUGCCCAGGCUAGGAAGCCUGAUUGCCCAAAGCGCCCACCCACUUUACUCCCUGAUUGCCGCCUGGGUGGAGAGGCACUCUGACUUAUGAUCAACCAGGGUCUAUCUCCCAGGACCUGGAGGAGACACACCCAGAAGCCCCGAAGUAUGUUCUCUUCCUCACGAGACCCUGCAUCGCUUCCCAAUACACCAGAUUUUCUGGGAUUUAGUGUCAGGGUGCCUGGGACUACAGAGGUAAAUGCCUCCUGAAACACUUCAUUCUGCAAGAUUAUCGUAUAGCGCUCCAUUUGUUCCCUUGGGAUCAAGAGGAUUUUUUUUUUUUCUUCUUCUUCUUUUUUUCUUUCUUUCAAGAGGAAGAGAAUUUUUAAAAAUAUUAAGCCGAAACCUAAAUUAUUUCUUCUCUCCUGACACACUAAGUGGAUGCAGAUCGUUGGAAAUUCUCAAAGACUUAUUUUCAAAGGGUGAAACUCUAAAGAUUUCAAAAAAGAUGGUCAAAUAUAAUCUUUUCUUUUUUCCUUCUGAAGAACAGUGGAUCACAAAGUUAUCUGAGUUUCGCAGCCAGGAAAGUAAGGAAAUGGAGGUCUGGCUGUCUGGGCACAAACAUUAAGAACCCUGCGGUCCUCCUGUGUGCGCAGCUUAAUUUCUGUUUGUUUUGUAAUUACGGUGCUUUCCCAGGGGCAAGGGAGAUGCAGAGCGAGGCAAGGGCGCCAUCUGUAGGAGAAAUUUCACAGCCCAGGAUCUUUAACUAGAUGUCAAACUUAGGUUCAUCCUCCACAUCACUUCACUAUUCUCAUUAUCAUGCCUGUCUUUGCAAAGAAGCUCUUGACCUUGACUGGUAGCCACGGCUGUUCUGCUCCUGAG
ensembl:lncRNA